CCCUGGAUGGUGUAAACGGUUAACAUGUUUGGCUGUUACCCAAAAGAUUGGAGAUUCAAGUCCACCCAGAGA
rnacentral:tRNA from 1 species